GCGGGCGUGGUGUAAUGGUAGCCACAAGCGACUUAAAAUCGCUUGGUCGUAAGGCCGUGCGGGUUCGAAUCCCGCCGCCCGCA
rnacentral:tRNA from 1 species